UACGUAGGGUGCGAGCGUUAAUCGGAAUUACUGGGCGUAAAGCGUGCGCAGGCGGUUCGCCAAGUCAGGUGUGAAAUCCCCGGGCUUAACCUGGGAAUUGCGCUUGAAACUAGCGGGCUUGAGUGUGGCAGAGGGGGGUGGAAUUCCACGUGUAGCAGUGAAAUGCGUAGAUAUCGAGAAGAACGCUCGCAGCGAAAGCGAAGCCCUGGGCAACAUCUGACGCUGAGGUGCGAAAGCGUGGGGAGCAAACAGG
rnacentral:rRNA from 1 species